rnacentral:rRNA from 1 species
CCGGUUGAUCCUGCCGGCGGCCACCGCUAUUGGAAUACGAUUAAGACAUGCGAGUCGAGAGACAUCUGGUCUCGGCGAACCGCUCAGUAACACGUGGAUAACAUGCCCUAAGGUGGGGGAUAAUCUCGGGAAACUGAGGAUAAUACCCCAUAGGUCUUCUCUGCUGGAAUGCUUGAAGGCCGAAAACUCCGGUGCCUUAGGAUUGGUCUGCGGCCUAUCAGGUUGUAGUGGGUGUAAUGGACCCACUAGCCCGUGACGGGUAUGGGCCUUGAGAGAGGGAGCCCAGAGAUGGACUCUGAGACAUGAGUCCAGGCCCUACGGGGCGCAGCAGUCGCGAAAACUUCGCAAUGGGGGCAACCCCGACGAGGGAAUUCCAAGUGCCAGCACUUUGUGUUGGCUGUUCUCCUGUCUAAAAAACAGGAGGAGUAAGGGGCGGGUAAGACGGGUGCCAGCCGCCGCGGUAAUACCCGCGCCCCUAGUGGUGGUCGAUAUUAUUGAGCCUAUAACGUCCGUAGCCGGUCUUUUAAAUCUUUGGGCAAAUCGGGCAGCUUAACUGUCCGACUUCCGAGGAGACUGGAAGACUUGGGACCGGGAGAGGUCAGAGGUACUUCUGGGGUAGGGGUAAAAUCCUGUAAUCCUGGAAGGACCACCGGUGGCGAAGGCGUCUGACUAGAACGGAUCCGACGGUGAGGGACGAAGCCCUGGGGCGCAAACGGGAUUAGAUACCCCGGUAGUCCAGGGUGUAAACGCUGCGGGCUUGGUGUUGGGGGUCCUUCGUGGCGCCCAGUGCCGGAGAGAAGUUGUUAAGCCUGCUGCUUGGGGAGUAUGUCGCAAGGGAUGAAACUUAAAGGAAUUGGCGGGGGG